rnacentral:rRNA from 1 species
AGGGCAGACGGUGGAUGCCUUGGCUCUCGGAGGCGACGAAGGACGUGAUAAGCUGCGAAAAGCCCGGGGGAGGCGCAAAUAGCCCUUGAUCCCGGGAUAUCCGAAUGGGGCAACCCGGCAGGCUGAAGGCCUGCCAUCCCGUAAGGGAGGCGAACGUGGGGAACUGAAACAUCUAAGUACCCAUAGGAGGAGAAAAUAAACAAUGAUUCCGUAAGUAGUGGCGAGCGAACACGGAAGAGCCCAAACCCAUGUCGUCUAGGCGACAUGGGGGUUGUAGGACCACGACGUGGCAAGAUAGAGUCAAGUGGAACGCCUUGGAAAAGGCGGUCAUAGAGGGUGAAAACCCCGUACACGACUGACGAUUGAAGCCUAGUGGCAUCCUGAGUAGCGCGGGGCACGAGAAAUCUUGCGUGAAACUGCGGGGCCCAUCCCGUAAGGCUAAAUACUCCCGAGAGACCGAUAGCGAACCAGUACCGUGAGGGAAAGGUGAAAAGAACCCCGAGCAGGGGAGUGAAAUAGACCCUGAACCCGUCUGCCUACAAGCGGUCGGAGCGUCGUAAUGACGUGACGGCGUGCCUUUUGCAUAAUGAACCUACGAGUUACCUUCCCCGGCAAGGUUAAGUACCUAAGGUACGGAGCCGAAGCGAAAGCGAGUCUGAAUAGGGCGGCCAGUCGGGGGGGGUAGACGCGAAACCGAGUGAUCUACCCUUGGCCAGGUUGAAGGUUGGGUAACACCAACUGGAGGACCGGAUGGGUAAGCGUUGAAAAGCUUUCCAAUGAGCUGAGGGUAGGGGUGAAAGGCUAAUCAAACUCGGAGAUAGCUCGUACUCCCCGAAAUGCAUUUAGGUGCAGCCUCUUUAUAGUAUAUCGUGAGGUAGAGCGACUGAUUGGAUGCGAGGGCUUCACCGCCUAUCAAGUCCAGAUAAACUCCGAAUGCGCGAUAUAUAUUUACAGGGAGUGAGGGCGCGGGUGCUAAGGUCCGUGUCCGAGAGGAGAAGAAUCCAGACCACCGGCUAAGGCCCCCAAAUGAUCGUUGAGUUGAACUAACGAGGUCGGAUCGCAGAGACAGCUAGGAUGUUGGCUUGGAAGCAGCCAUUCAUUUAAAGAGUGCGUAACAGCUCACUAGUCGAGCGAUCUGGCGUGGAUAAUAAUCGGGCAUAAACGAUCUGCCGAAGCCGUGGAUGUCGCAAGACAUGGUAGGGGAGCAUUCCAUGCGGCGUCGAAGAUGAGGGAUGACCCUUGUUGGAGCGCAUGGAAAAGCAAAUGUAGGUAUGAGUAACGAUAAGGGGGGCGAGAAACCCCCCCGCCGAAAGACCAAGGUUUCCUGAUCAACGCUAAUCGGAUCAGGGUGAGUCGGGACCUAAGGCAAAGCCGAACGGCGACGCCGAUGGAAGAAUGGGUUAAUAUUCCCAUACUGCCUCAUGGAGUGACGUGGAGACGGAGAAGUGACAGUCCUGCCGGCUGACGGAAUAGCCGGUUGAAGGGUGUAGAUAUUGAUUCCCGUAGGCAAAUCCGCGGGGAGAGUCGAACCUGACAGUAUAUCGAGUACUUGUACGAGGUAAUAUGGACGUAACCAUGCUCCCAAGAAAAUCCGCUAAACUUAUCCAUGCGGCACCCGUACCGUAAACGGACACACGUGGUCGGGUUGAGAAUACUGAGGCGCUCGAGUGAUUCACGGUUAAGGAACUAGGCAAAUUGACCCUGUAACUUCGGGAUAAAGGGUCCCAACGAGAGUUGGGCGCAGAGAAUAGGUCCAGGCAACUGUUUAACAAAAACACAGGGCUGUGCCAAAUUGAAAGAUUACGUAUACAGCCUGACACCUGCCCGGUGCUGGAAGGUUAAGAGGAGAUGUCAUCGCAAGAGAAGCAUUGAAUUGAAGCCCCAGUAAACGGCGGCCGUAACUAUAACGGUCCUAAGGUAGCGAAAUUCCUUGUCGGGUAAGUUCCGACCUGCACGAAUGGUGUAAUGAUCUGGACGCUGUCUCAACCGUGAGCUCAGUGAAAUUGUAGUAUCGGUGAAGAUGCCGAUUACCCGCGAUGGGACGAAAAGACCCCGUGAACCUUUACUAUAGCUUAACAUUGAAUUUGGGUAAUUGAUGUGUAGGAUAGGCCGGAGACUUUGAAGCAGGUACGCCAGUAUUUGUGGAGUCGCUGUUGAAAUACGGCCCUUUGAUUAUUUGAGUUCUAACUCGUAGAUGCGAGGACACUGUUUGGUGGGUAGUUUGACUGGGGUGGUCGCCUCCAAAAGUGUAACGGAGGCUUCUAAAGGUGCCCUCACGACGAUUGGUAACCGUCGGCAGAGUGUAAUGGCAUAAGGGCGCUUGACUGGGAGACUAACAAGUCGAUCAGG